rnacentral:rRNA from 1 species
CGUACACUCCUACGGGAGGCAGCAGUGGGGAAUAUUGGACAAUGGGCGCAAGCCUGAUCCAGCCAUGCCGCGUGAGUGAUGAAGGCCCUAGGGUUGUAAAGCUCUUUCACCGGUGAAGAUAAUGACGGUAACCGGAGAAGAAGCCCCGGCUAACUUCGUGCCAGCAGCCGCGGUAAUACGAAGGGGGCUAGCGUUGUUCGGAUUUACUGGGCGUAAAGCGCACGUAGGCGGACUAUUAAGUCAGGGGUGAAAUCCCGGGGCUCAACCCCGGAACUGCCUUUGAUACUGGUAGUCUUGAGUUCGAGAGAGGUGAGUGGAAUUCCGAGUGUAGAGGUGAAAUUCGUAGAUAUUCGGAGGAACACCAGUGGCGAAGGCGGCUCACUGGCUCGAUACUGACGCUGAGGUGCGAGAGCGUGGGGAGCAAACAGGAUUAGAAACCCUUGUAGUCCCA